rnacentral:tRNA from 1 species
GGGACGUAGCGUAGUCUGGUUAACGCGACAGAUUGUCGAUCUGUAGAUCGCGGGUUCAAAUCCCGUCGUCCCC